rnacentral:rRNA from 1 species
CCUACGGGAGGCAGCAGUGGGGAAUAUUGGGCAAUGGGCGCAAGCCUGACCCAGCAACGCCGCGUGAAGGAAGAAGGCUUUCGGGUUGUAAACUUCUUUUUUCAGGGACGAAGCAAGUGCCGGUACCUGAGGUAUAAGCCACGGCUAACUACGUGCCAGCAGGCGCGGCAAGCCGUAGGUGGCAAUCGUUAUCAGGAUUUACUGGGUGUAAAGGGCGUGUAGGCGGGACUGCAAGUCAGAUGUGAAAACCACGGGCUCAACCUGUGGCGUGCCUUUGAAACUGUAGUUCUUGAGUACGGGAGAGGCAGACGGAAUGCCUGGUGUAGCGGUGAAAUGCGUAGAUAUUAGGCAGAACUCCGGUGGCGAAGGCGGUCUGCUGGACAGCAACUGACGCUGAGGCGCGAAAGCGUGGGGAGCGAACAGGAUUAGAUACCCUGGUAGUC